rnacentral:rRNA from 1 species
AGCUCCAAUAGCGUAUAUUAAAGUUGCUGCAGUUAAAAAGCUCGUAGUUGCAUUUCCGAGGCAAGGGAUUAGUCCGACCUUUGGUGGGUAUUUAAUCCUCUUGCCUCGUCCUUGAGUGGUGCUUCUUGGUAUUAAGUUAUCGAGGAGAUAGCCGCUCAUCGUUUACUGUGAGAAAAUUAGAGUGUUCAAAGCAGGCUUAUGCCGUUGAAUAUAUUAGCAUGGAAUAAUAAGAUAGGACCUCGGUACUAUUUUGUUUGUUUGAGAACCAAGGUAAUGAUGAAUAGGGACAGUUGGGGGUAUUCGUAUUCAGUUGUCAGAGGUGAAAGUCUUAGAUUUACGGAAGACGAACUACUGCGAAAGCAUUUACCAAGGAUGUUUUCA